CAGCCGCCGCGGUAAUACGGAGGGAGCUAGCGUUGUUCGGAAUUACUGGGCGUAAAGCGCGCGUAGGCGGUUACUCAAGUCAGAGGUGAAAGCCCGGGGCUCAACCCCGGAACUGCCUUUGAAACUAGGUGACUAGAAUCUUGGAGAGGUCAGUGGAAUUCCGAGUGUAGAGGUGAAAUUCGUAGAUAUUCGGAAGAACACCAGUGGCGAAGGCGACUGACUGGACAAGUAUUGACGCUGAGGUGCGAAAGCGUGGGGAGCAAAUAGGAUUAGAUACCCCCGUAGUCCCUGUCUCUUAUAC
rnacentral:rRNA from 1 species